CUCUUAGGGCAGGGUGUAACCGAACAAAGCCGAAAGGACUUUUUUUUCCCCACUCGCCCCUCUGUCGCCGCCGCUCAAGGGAUCUCCAGCCACCGGAGUCCCCGCCCCCUCCGACGCAUCCAUCUUCUUCAACUCCUACGCCGCCAGCCUGCUCUGAUUCGCCUCCGACUAAGCCGACUGGUCGCCGCAACGAUGAAGGUACGGCCAUCCCGAUAUCCCCCGGCCCUGAAAAUCUCUCCCUGCCCCAGCGCGUGCCGCCGCGGCAGUGAAUCCAUGAAUCCGCUGCGUGCUCCUCCCAGCGCCCUCUCUCUCUCUCUCUCUCUCUCUCUCUCUCUCUCCCUCUCUGAACCACUAGAAGCACCAGUAAUCUUUGACACUUGGGUGGAAAUUUUGCACUGGUCUCUGUUUGCCUUCAUGCUUCAUUACACGGAAUUCAGUUUGCCUUCUCAUAUGUGACGAAUCAUCAUGCCAUUUAGAUGUGUAAAUUUACUUUUUAUUUCUGUAUUGUCAACCCGUCUCUGAAACUUAGGUACUACAAGAACGGCAAGUGAACCCUUAAACUGUAUUUAUAGUUAUAUGUAUGUCAACUACUGUAAGAGACAGGAUCAGUCUAUCUAUGUGUAUACUGUUUUUUUAGAAAUCCUCACGAGUAGUGUUUCUAAUUUCUACCUUAGAAAUUCUCAUUAUUCCCAGACCCUUGGGGAUCAUAUUCUUGUCAAUUUCUCUGACUGACAAGUACCACAUAUAUCAAUAGUCUCUUAGUUGUUUUUGGACUACCACGUAUCCUUAUAAUCAUAUAACUGUUUUUGAUUACUAAUUGUACUGUUUUUGGUUACUAGCAAUAUUGUGCAUCUUUAUGUUGUGCAUAUGUUCCGGUCUUCCAAUUUUUUAUAGCCUUAAAAAGAAAGAGCAGGUUAGCAAGGAGGAGCAAGUGUCACAGCAAGGGUUAAACAAUACCAGUUAGGCUUGCGGCCCAGCCACUCUUCUCUGCCGUCUCCUCCGGCUCUCCAAAUGCACAAAGGCCGGCCAGCCUGCCGGCACCAAGCACCCAUGACCAUAUCAGCGGAUCAUAUCUUGUACUAGCUUGUUUAUUCAACGUUGCUCUGAAUUUCUCGAGUCGAGGCUUCUCUUUCUGCUCCAUGCUCCCCCAUAAGCUUGAGCCACAUUGUUGGGUCAGCUAUCUCCAGGGUCCUAUCUUGAAGUGCAUCCUCAACAAACUUAUGAAGAUCCAAUGAAUCUCUGAACAUGCCUUCUGUUGGGCUCCUUCCAGUAAACAUCUCAAGCAGCAAUUUGCCAAGGCUAUAAAUAUCACCAGCUGUAGAGACUGCAGAGCCUUCUCCAUACUCUGCAAUUAUGCAAAGUCUUGUGGUUAGCAUGCCUUGAUUGACCAAGGAUCAUGUCUUGUACCAGCUUGUUUAUUCAAUGAUGUUCUGAAUCUUGAGUUGAGGCUUCUCUUUCUGCUCAAUGCUCCCCUGUAAAUUUCAGGUACGCAUCUCUGAUUGUGUGCAUCUCCGUUGCUGCAUCUCUCGUCAGUGCUCGGGCUCGAGGUUGUUGCUUUUAGCAGGAUAUGCCAAGCCUGAAGACCGAGACCAAGCACUCCUGGAUUCUAAUACUUGCAGUGUUAUCAUGUUGUCCGCCGUGCAGCCACAUUGUUGGGUCAGCUAUCUCAAAGGUUCUAUCUGGAAGUGCCUCCUCGACAAAUUUAUGCAAAUCCAAUGAAUCUCUGAACGUGCAUCCUCGACAUCAUCUGGAAGUGCAUUCUCUGGUGGGCUCCUUCCGGUAAACAUCUCAAGCAGCAAUAUGCCAAGACUAUAAAUAUCACCAGCUGUUGAGACUGCAGAGCUAUCUCCAUACUCUGUAUUACGCAAAGGUUUGUGGUUAACAUGUCAUAUUUGAUUGAAAAGGUAAAAUAUGAAGUUAGAAGAAUUUUAGUCACCUGGAGCAAUAUAGCCUAUCCAACCUUUAAUUCCAGUUGAGCCAUAUGAAGUUUGCAUCCCCUUGCUUGUAUUUUCUUGACGGAUCCUUGAUAUGGCAAAGUCUCCAACUCGUGCGUUCAUGUCUUCAGCAAGAAGAAUCUUGCUUGGCUUAAGAUCACAAUGAAUCACCAAUGGUUGGCAGUAGUUGUGCAAAUAUUCUACUCCAUCCACAAUGCGUCCAAUGGCCAUGGCGUCCUCUCUCCUCCUUGGCCCCCACCCUAAAACCAAGGCGGAAACCCCUCUUCCCUCCUGCCUGUGGCCUUGCCCCUCUCCUCCACCAAGGCGGCUCCCUCUCUCCAGAUCCACCAAGGACGGCCAGCAUCCUCUAGGGCAGGUAUGGCUGUGUGGCCCAGAGAAAUCAAAAUUUGAUGUGAAUCGAUGCUAGAUGGUUGGUCUGUAGUUGGUAAUCUGGGUUUAAUUUUGGGACAAAAUGCUUCUUCUCUCAAAUAUACACAUUACCUGCUGCCUGCUUCCUACUGCCAAGUUAACAUCCUGCUGAUGCUCUGCUGCUUUUGGAGGUGAACUGUUCCCUGAUUGAUUGAAUGAAUGACACCAAUAUGCAUCUGGUACAACUCCUCUGCUCUUCGUUGUGCUGUAGAAUAGUUUGUCUCGCGGCAAAUUGCUUGUGCUGUAAAAUGAACUACUUUCUCAAUGUUGCCAGCCUACUUCACUGAGGAUGCGAUUUUCCUGAAUCUUUUAAAUUACUUACAAGCCAUGUAGCAAAUAUACUGACAACUGCUAUUGCACAACACUAGGAUUUUACCUUUUUACAUUACACUACAUUUAUUUGAUACUUGUUCCAAAGAAAAUAGCUGCAUUAAAAAUAAAGCUUACUGGAAAGAUUGAUUGUUGAUAACGUCCUCCUAGCUAGUAAAGGUCCUCUGGACCUGCUGCUACAGUGCUAUUGCACAACAUUGGGAUGGUUUUACUUUAAAUUUGUUUUUCUCAUAUGCUCUCCAGAUUCACAUCCUCCUAGGUACAUAUCUAGUUCCUGUAUUUCUUUUUACUAAUAAGGGAAUUAAUAGAAGGUGGAUGGUUAGUCUCUGGUUAUAAGGAUUACCUUGCUGCUGCUUCUGCAAGCUGUUCUCUGAAUGGAUGGUACUGAUGCUUUCGAGUCCGUGAUUCUGAUUAAUCUUUGGACACAUUAAUUUAUUUUUCUGAGAAUCAGAUUUGGGCAGGCUGCUUGUGCUCUAAAUUCUAGUAUCUGUUUCUGCACAUGGAAAGCAUAUACGCUGUUAACAAGCAGCCUGACUUUACUACCUCAAGACAGGAUAUGCUUUCUAACCUGUGAUUUCUGUUUAUUUUAUUGACAGAUAACUUUUUCUCCUAUUGAGAAUCAGAUUUUAGACAGAUUGCCUGUGCUCUCAAUGCGCAUUAGUUUGUACCCCAAGUUUGUUUCUGCACAUGGACGUAUGCAGGAUCAAAUCUUGUGCCAGCUUGUUUAUGCAACGCUGCUCUGAAUUUCUUGAGUCGAGGCUUCUCGUUCUGCUCCAUGCUCCCCUAUGAACUUGAGGGAGUUCUGACUGAGAGGACGACGGAGCUGGCUGCCUCGCUAUCGGUGGCGGCUGCCCAGUGGAUCGUCGAGGCUGACCAGUUCAUGAGGGCUGGCCUCUACAACGGAUGGCUCCCGCACCUGUGAGUUCUAGGCUGAUGUACUACAACUUAGCUUUCGUUUGUCAGCAGCAUAUACAUUUACUAGAUCUAGAGGGUGCCAGUCCCAACGUCUUGAUCAAACAAGUAAUGCUAAGUCAGUAGUAAUUCAGAUUUUGGCGCCAUAUGCUUAUUUUGUUGCUGACGGGUGAUGCCUCGCUAAACACAUUACCCGGACAUGUAAACAGAGUACAAAUUUUUGCAAGAUCAAACAUAAAAUUGUCUUUAUAGAUAGCAUAAAUGUUGCCAACACAUCUUGGCGCAUUGUCUGAUCUAUUGCACAGGUGCGGCACGCCUAAUCCUAAAUAAUGACAUAAGGACAGAUCCAAAUAGAUUGCUAUUUGAUCGGAAAGCAUAAAGACAUAAGCAAAGAAUAGUAAUCGCUCAUGCCAAUAGGUUGACAACUAUACAUUCAUUACAGAGGAUAGAUGCUUAACAUACCAGAGUAACUACCCUUUGAUAGAUUUCAAUUCGUUCACAAAGGCAUAAAGACCCAAUUCAUACCAUACAAUGGUUGCCCGCGACAAUAAGUUCACUACAAUAUACCAAAAGCAAAAGAUACAUCAUAAUAACAAAAGUGCAUCGAAAGGUGUAGCGGCUGCCGAUGCGUCUGAAGCUCGUAGGAAGCACAAAAUUUCUCAGGCAGAGUAUAUGUCCCGACAAGAAGAGAAAAGGAGGUGGAGCACCCGAAAAUCCCGGUAUCGCGAACCGUCAACUGGUCAGAGCAAGUAUAAUAGGUUCUAGUCAGCUGGCUGCAAGCUAUUCCACGUCAUUGAAACCUUAGCUGGAGGGAAGAGAAGGGAAGAGAGAGAAGGGAAUGGGCGCUUCGCAUACAGCCCGGCCGCAGCGCAAGGAACAAGAAGUAACAACGCUUCUGCCGUUUCAGCAUGGUUAAUAAGAGAGGCAACAGCCGGCUCUAUAGCUAUGUCCAUGUCAUCUAUAGUCUUCAUACAACCAAGACCAUAUUGUUUUGAAUCAAAAAUGAUCGAAUCAAUCGAUCGAUGGUUACAGGCCCCCUUUUAUAUGUCCCGAGGAGACACGACGAUCCCUCGAGGAGGCGUCGGUUCCAGGAGAUCGAAGGGAGGCGUCGGUUGCGGGACAAACCGCAACGACGGUUUGGGCAAGGGGAGAUUUUCCCCUAAUUACAGAAUUAUUUUAACACUCCCCCUAAUCUACGCUUGACCAUGUAGAUCAUCUUCACGAUUGUCCGGGAAGCUCUAUCAUCUCAAAAGAUUCUCCUUCAAAAGUUCUUCAUAAAAUCUUUGAUGAGAUCCUGAAACAUAUACUCACAAAGAAAGAUAGCAUAAUGUGAUGUCAUUAAAAUGAGGAUAUCUCAAGAAGAGACUCCCCCUGACACCUGCAAGUCCCUAAGUCUUCGCAUACCAAUUCCAUGAACACAUUUCUGGAAUGUAGAAUUUGGUAGAGACUUGGUAAAUAAAUCAGCAAGGUUGUCGCAUGAUUUGACUUGC